rnacentral:rRNA from 1 species
GAUGAACGCUGGCGGCGUGCCUAAUACAUGCAAGUCGAGCGAACGGACGAGAAGCUUGCUUCUCGGAUGUUAGCGGCGGACGGGUGAGUAACACGUGGAUAACCUACCUAUAAGACUGGGAUAACUUCGGGAAACCGUAGCUAAUACCGGAUAAUAUUUUGAACCGCAUGGUUCAAAAGUGAAAGACGGUCUUGCUGUCACUUAUAGAUGGAUCCGCGCUGCAUUAGCUAGUUGGUAAGGUAACGGCUUAUCAAGGCAACGAUGCAUAGCCGACCUGAGAGGGUGAUAGGCCACCCUGGAACUGAGACACGGUCAAGACUACUACGGGAGGCCGCAGAAGGGAAUCGUCCGCAAUGGGCGAAAGCAUGACGGAGCAGCGCCGAGUGAGUGAUGAAGGUCUUCGGAUCGUAAAACUCUGUUAUUAGGGAAGAACAUAUGUGUAAGUAACUGUGCACAGCUUGACGGUAACUAAUAAGAAAGCCACGGCUAACUACGUG